UACAGGGGUGCAGCGUUGCUCGGAAUUACUGGGCGUAAAGGGAGGUAGGUGGUCUAGCACGUCUAUGGUGAAAUCCCUGAGCUUAACUCAGGAAGUGCCAUAGAUACGGCCAGACUGGAGUCUUGGAGAGGUUCGUGGAAUUCCCGGUGUAGCGGUGAAAUGCGUAGAGAUCGGGAGGAACACCAGAGGCGAAGGCGGCGAACUGGACAAGUACUGACACUCAACUCCGAAAGCGUGGGGAGCAAAC
rnacentral:rRNA from 1 species